CCGAGUUUACAACUCCCAAACCCUUCGUGAACAUACCUAUAUCGUUGCCUCGGCGGAUCAGCCCGGCGCCCUCGGAAACGGGAACAGGCCGCCCGCAGGAGGCCACAAACUCUGUUUUUAGUGGUACUCUCUGAGUGAACAAAACAAAUAAAUCA
rnacentral:misc_RNA from 1 species